UUGCCUGUCCCACCUGCAAGAUGUAUGCUGCUGAGGUAAGCUCAAGCAUUUACUCAGCUUUCAAAGAAUCCCUGCUGGAGCUGAGAGUCAUGAGUAUCAAUAGUAUUUCACUGAAGCUGUUAUUUACACAACUGGUGUGAGUAUCAUGGCAAGCUUAUGCAGAGGCGUGGAUGAGGGUUGUUUAAAGUGGAUUUCAGAAAGAAUACAGGAAUUCAUAAUUCAGCUUUAUGAACUGCAAACCAGGCAGCUACAACUUGAACAAUGGGCUAUUCGGUAACUUGUCACAUAACCUGCCCACCAUACAAAGGUAUUACCCAUCCUCAAAGAGGCUGCUCUACCUGUGUUUUAAGGGUUAUACCUGAAUGUAGUUAUUUCUCUUGAGUUUUGCUCUCCUAUAUGGGUAGCAGCUGGAGAGCAUCCUUUCUGAUCAUAUUUUGGUCUUAUUUUUAAUUCAUUUCCCCCACCUUAGAGUAUUCAUCAGCUGCUGUAGCCUCUUGUUUCAGACAGCUGCUAGAUCCUGGCUGAUGGACUUUAUUGAUUUCUCCCUCUGAUCUUGCAAAUCUUAUUUCAAAUUCAUCACCUGCCAGGGCCGUUCUGGGAGCUUGAGCUUCACUGCAGCUUGUUACGGAUGGGGGGAGCUCUCCUAUGGGCUUUCUAGUGCCACCAGCUGCAAAGCCCCUGCUCUGGAGCAGCCCACCCUGAUGCUCUGCGAGGUCUCGGAUCAAACCUUGACCCCUUCCCCUCCCACAGCCCCCAUGCAUGGCUGUGCCCAACACUGUGGAGUGCCAGCACUGGCCGCGCCGCGCUGCACUGCAAUGUGGAAGAGGGGAGACAGGAGCUGUGCGCAGCCAACAUCGGGGUUGGUGGCCCCAGCUCAGUGGGUGGCAAGCCCCUGUCCCAGCCCACCUCCAGCCUUUCUUUCUUCACACACGAAUUACGGUCCCGUCCCCUCCACUGCAACGGAAAUCCUGAAAACCUGAACCAGAUGCACGGUUUCACCUGAGUUUACAGACAGCCUGGAAGCAAUAACUCUGGGAGCCAUGCAACAAGUGUGCUGCAGAUGUCAGAGGCCUGUGUUUAAGAAAUCCCCUGGUCUGGAUGCACAGUUUCCAGUGUGUCCUGCUGGCAUGCAUCUGCAGGUGGGUUGUAACAAAUGUACUGUCAGCUAUGUAAAAUACACAGCUUGUGAGAAGACGAAAUACUGUAAAUCUGGCAAUGAUGCUUUCCCUUGUGUUUCUGUAAUGAAGCUGCUAUUCCGUAGUGUUUCUGAGUGAGGAGCCACCCAUGGCCUGAGAGCUGUCACACUCCAUCCCAGCAAAGAGCCACCUCUUUUCCCAGUUCCUUUCUCACGCUGGUGCUCAGGCUUCCAGUGAAGCACAAGGUAACUCAGUGCAUCUAAAAAUGGAGCAGCUCAUCUUAACUAUAGCUGACAUUUGGGUUCGAAGGAUGUAUCCCACUUUCAUGGUCCAUUAUACCCUAUUUGGGUGAAAAGACCUGAGCUGCCAAAGCAGCAAGGAGUAACAAAAGUGAAAAAGGCAUAUUGGAAUGAUUCAGCUGAGGGAAAUUGUCAAGAACUAUUGAUUUGUUUCUUUGUUUUUAUGUUUCAGGUGAUUUCUAAAGCUACAGUUUGAUAAUGUUCUUAAAAUAUGUCAGACUUCACACGUUAAGUGGUAGAAAAACGCCGUGCCUCCUACACUCACAGCCGCGGGAGAAGCAUGUUGUGAUGACUAAAUAAAGCCCUUCCUGCA